rnacentral:lncRNA from 1 species
ACCCUCCAGGUUGGAGCCCAACCGAAAACUGAAGUUAGAAAAGAAUUUCAGAGUAUGACCAAUAACCGAACCAUCCUCGACGAAACCCGGGCAGCGGCCGCACCCUCCUCGGAAGAGGAGCUAGGGGCGGGCUUCAGAUUUUCAUCCACUAAUGAAAAUAACUUUGAUCAUGCAGCUGAGAUGGGGACAUGGGAUACACAGAAACGGAUCAUCGACCCCACCAUUGGCACCAGGAGUAAAAAGCUGACAUCGACCUAAAGCACGAUGCCAU